AAUGAAUCCACCAGCAGAAAUUCCUGUACACAUCUUAUCAACAAAGAAUUUGAACCUCAAAGAGUGGCUCAAAGAGGUCAGGAGGCACCUUCAACACUUUUAUUGGAGAUCUCCUUGUCUAGAUCAUCAGGUUUGUCAGAUUCUCACUGUGUUACCUAGGCUGCAGUGCAGUGGUGCGAUCUCAACUCACUGCAACCUCUACCUCCUGGGUUCAAGCAAUUCUCCUGCCUCAGCCUCCCAAGUAGCUGGGAUUACAGGUGAGGAGACUGGUGUUAAGUAACUCGCCCAUCCAUGACCGCAUCAGUGGUUGAAAUGGGAUUGGAAUCUGGUCUUAAUCACUCUUCCAUAAUGCCUCCAUGGCAAGGGUGGCAGAGAGGAAGAAUUAUGCUGAGGAAGUAGAACUGACUAGAAGUCAUGAACAAUGCUUGGUGAUUAGAUUCUAGAAUGGACGAAUAAGGCUCUGCUUUGCUCCCAAGCUUCUGUGUCAGUAAUGGCUUCAUUCAUCUACACAGGGAACAGAGGAUGGAGAGGUGAUGUCUUCAGGCUAGGGCAUGUACAGGGUGACCAAAUCUGACCUUGUAUUGUGCAAACUCAGGACUUUCGUAGAGGAAAGGAGUCACCAUCCAGAGGGAUGCCAGAUAAAAAUGUACAAUGGGACUAAGCCAGGCAAACAGUGGCACAUGUUCACGUUAGACAUGUGGAAUCUGAUAUUUCUGUAAGAAAUACAGAAGAACAUGGGAAAAAUGGCAACAGAGGCCUAAAACUCUGCAGAAAUGGCUGAUCUUAUAAUUUGUGAACUGUUAUUUAUGGUUGUUGGUGGAGCCCAUGGUAGUGAAGGAGAUGGCUCAGGGAGACAACAUUAAAGGCGAUAAGGAGAAAAACUAAUGAUCAAAUUCUAGUGAAUGAAAGGGAAGUAAGGAUAGUAAGUAUAAUAAUAGAGUUUCAAAUUAACAUUUAAUUUUAAAAUUAAUUAUAUGCUACUACUGUUUAUUAUUUAACCCUUCCCUUCCAAGUUAAUUUCAUUUACACUAUUCAUGAGGCUACACAGUUUAGUAAAGGGUCCAUUUAAGCAGGAUGAAUUUAACUCACUAAUUUCAGAAUGAAAGCAAAAGCUCUCUGCAUCUAUGCUGAAUUAUUUGACAUAAAUAGCUGUCUUGCUACAGAAAGCAAAUAGAGUACACUCUCCACUAUAAUUAGAAUUAACAUCAGAUACUCCUAGAAUCUUUCUUUGGCAAUAAAAUUCUUUUGCCUCA
rnacentral:lncRNA from 1 species